GUCAAGGUGCCAUGUCAUCUCCAAUCACAAAAUCAUUUGGAUUACAUACAUUUUGGACCUAAUUGUGCUACUCACAAGUUCAAGGAUCCACACUAUUGUAAAAUAUGAGAAAGCACCAAGGCAAUACAUUCGGUGAUCCUCUGAAAGGUAGAAUAAUUUAUAUUAUAUAUAUUUGAGAAAUAUCUGUACAACAAUCACCUUGUAUUUCAAAUAGACCAAAGUAAACCUCAUAGUAAACGUGCUGCAAUG
rnacentral:lncRNA from 1 species